UACGUAGGGGGCAAGCGUUGUCCGGAAUCAUUGGGCGUAAGGCGCGUGUAGGCGGCUCGAUAAGUCUGCUGUGAAAGUCCAGGGCUCAACCCUGGGAUGCCGGUGGAUACUGUCGAGCUCGAGUCCGGAAGAGGCGAGUGGAAUUCCUGGUGUAGCGGUGAAAUGCGCAGAUAUCAGGAGGAACACCGAUUGCGAAGGCAGCUCGCUGGGACGUAACUGACGCUGAGACGCGAAAGCGUGGGGAGCAAACAGG
rnacentral:rRNA from 1 species